rnacentral:rRNA from 2 species
AAAUUGAAGAGUUUGAUCAUGGCUCAGAUUGAACGCUGGCGGCAGGCCUAACACAUGCAAGUCGAGCGGUAGCACAGAGAGCUUGCUCUCGGGUGACGAGCGGCGGACGGGUGAGUAAUGUCUGGGAAACUGCCUGAUGGAGGG